GCCUGAUAAGGGCAAACCUUCCGAAAGGUUGGGACGCAAAGCUUGCGGCCUAAGUUCGCUAGAGGCGGAUAAGGUGGCGAGGCUGCCGGG
rnacentral:ncRNA from 1 species